GGAACUUUUCACUUUCCUGUCCUUUCAAGCAACAGAAAUCAACUAGCAAUCAGAGAGUAACCUACCCAUCCUCUUGGGCAAAAUUUCUUUGGUUCAUGAAAUGCUGCAAAUAUUACACAAUUCCAUGUUUCUUCUUUUUCUAAAGAGGGCAGCAACUGAGUAGGCAUUGAGGUUGAGUGUAAGAAAAUUCUCCCCUACUCCAUAGGUGCUUUCAGGCAUCAUGGCUAAUCAGCUAGAGGCCACAUUUCCCAGUCUCCCUUGAAGCUUGUUGUGGCCAUGUGAUCAGCUUCUUGUGAAUGGGAGCUUGAGGAGAACACAUGACUGGUUAACUCUUAAAUCGUGCUAGACAAACCUCUCCACUGAAGUACUAAUCAACUUAAAAUAUCAACGUACCCAUGGAGCCAAAGCAGCUUGGGGAGUCAGAGGAGGUCUCAGGGAAAUAGCGAUGCUUCAAGAGAGUUAAAGGCUAUACCAGCCUCUUCCCAGAGCCACCUUUGCACACCUUCAUUUGUGCACAAAUAAAUCUAUUAUGAUUAU
rnacentral:lncRNA from 10 species